rnacentral:rRNA from 1 species
UGAGGAACAUGACCUUCGGCGGGGGAUAGCCGGCCCAACGGCCGGGUAAUACCGCGUACGACCACAUGGGGACAUCCCUGAGUGGUGAAAGCAGCAAUGCGCCGAUGGAGUGCCUCGCGGCCUAUCAGCUAGUUGGUGAGGUAACGGCUCACCAAGGCGACGACGGGUAGCUGGUCUGAGAGGAUGGCCAGCCACAGUUGGGACUGAGACACGGCCCAGACCUCGUACGGGGAGG